UAAGAGGUCCAGCCUGCCCGGUGAUAAAAUUUAACGGCCGCGGUACCCUAACCGUGCGAAGGUAGCAUAAUCACUUGUUCUUUAAAUAGGGACUAGUAUCAACGGCAUCACGAGGGUUACACUGUCUCCUUUCCCCAAUCAGUGAAACUGAUCUCCCCGUGAAGAAGCGGGGAUAUAACUAUAAGACGAGAAGACCCCAUGGAGCUUUAAGCUCAACAACACCUCCUUACAAAUACACCCCGGCAACCCACGAGUCCUGUUUGUUAGCUUUAGGUUGGGGUGACCGCGGAGUAUAACACAACCUCCACGACGAACAGGCCUAAAACCUUAAUCCAAGAGCAACUGCUCUAAGAAUCAUAAAAUUGACGUAAAAUGAUCCGAUUCUCGAUCAACGAACCAAGUUACCCUGGGGAUAACAGCGCAAUCCAUUUCAAGAGCCCCUAU
rnacentral:rRNA from 1 species